CUCGGCUCGGCGGUGGGAGAUCUAACAUGGCGGCCGGGGUUUGCGUCAGCAGUGGAUGUGGAUGUGGCACCCAGAGCCUCUCAGCGCCCUCACAGGUUCAAAUGUGCUGUAGCCGAGGAUGAUGUGUCCGUGUACUUUGGCACCUUGACACAUCACAAUAUGUAGAUCAGACAAUCAAUAUUACCACUCCCCUGCUGACGUCCAACCAUCUGGGUCUCACCGCUAUCGGAGGCACUUAGCUGCUGCUGCUGCUGACGCUCAGAUUUUAUAAAUAUGAAAGUGUGUUUUUCUAAAAUCUGAUUUAAACGAUUGCACUAUAUUUUUCAACAUAGUGUGAUAUACUGAAUCGUAACCCAUGCAAAUUCUUUCCAACACAUGGCUCUAGUAGGUAUUGUAUGUUCAAAAGAAUAUGCUGUACCCUGAUUGGAAUUCUUGCUCUAUGCUUUUUUUAUUUUAAUAAGAUACGUAUUUAUGCUCACAAAAGCCAAAAGGAAUGACAGCUGUAUAGUGUAAUGCAGUAAACAGUAGAAUAUUUUACAGUGAAAUGUAGUGAAAGAAUUGUCAUCCCAAAAUACUGUAUACACCUAAUUUAAACUGAUGUGCCUGAAACACCUGGAAUCACCAUUGUUAUCCAUGUGUAGCCCUAUUUAUAUGGUGUUUUAAUGUACUGGCUAACAUUAGUCCACUGAAGCUUCUCAGCUCUAAGGAUAACACUUCCACAAAAAUAAAAUAAGGGACACAAAGCA